rnacentral:rRNA from 1 species
GACGAAGGGGGCAAGCGUUGUUCGGAAUUACUGGGCGUAAAGGGCGCGUAGGCGGCCUCUGCAAGUCGACUGUGAAAUCUCCGGGCUUAACCCGGAAAGGUCAGCCGAUGCUGCCGGGCUAGAGUCCGGAAGAGGCGAGUGGAAUUCCUGGUGUAGCGGUGGAAUGCGCAGAUAUCAGGAGGAACACCAAUAGCGAAGGCAGCUCGCUGGGACGGUACUGACGCUAAGGCGCGAAAGCGUGGGGAGCGAACAGG